GACAGUGUUUGCAACAUAUAAUCCUUCUGCUACCCGUGUACAAACAAUCAUAGGAGGACAGCGAGGACUACACUAAGGACGUCGUUCCGUGGACCGCAGUAGCUGUAGCAGCCUGUUCGCAUCUGAGGAGCUGUCCGACCGACCUCAGGGCGUGACCUGGAUUGGCUGGACUUUACCCCUUACGUCGACCAAACACCUACUUCGUCCAAGUCAGUCGUCUGAUGUUGAGUUGGGGUUUAAAACUAAUUUAGAGACGUCCCUGUUUUGAAAUUCUAGACAAGUUCCAUCAUGCCUGCAAAAGAUGUCUCAAAGGACCAACAUUUUUGCGACGAGGUAAAUUCUGAAGAGAUUGAUAAAAUGCAAAACGGCUCGAAGUUCCUUGUCCAUGACUAUAACGGAGAUGACGAUCGACUACGCCAAGUUGAUAUGAUAAAUCGAAAACUUCUGAAAUGGACAGGCGAGAAAAUAAAUGGUGAAUUCGUUAUGCACAGAAGAAACCUUAGACUGCGUAUUAAACUCCAUGAUUUAGAAAAUUGUACAAAUGAGAAUGUUAGUUACAUUGAAAUAUCAACGAAUGACCAGGAAAACAGUAUAGAAUGUUGUCUUGCGGAGGAUGGGAAUCCAGCCUGGGUAAACACUAAGACGUGUUCGUCAUUACUGCUGUGGAACAUCCUGAAAAGGAUUCUGACUUAUCUAAGGUCGGCAAUCGAAUUGGCAAAUCUUGUCUCCACGCUGCUGUCCUUUACUAUAUUUCAAAACUUACGCAAUUGGUUCUCACAACGGCAUUAGAAUGGUUAUAAAAGAAAACAGGGUACAAAAAGUCUGACAGUAAAAAUAAUGAAUGACCAAUGGAAUAGAUUUUCAACUUUCAGUUCUUAUUUAACUUUAACAGAGAUAAACCAUUGGUAUGGUACAACCACCUCUGGAACUUCGUCGUACUUGUGCUCUCUUUACUGUAGAGAAACAAUACAAUACUCUGUCAUCAACUUUUAUAACCGCACCCACUAAUGUCACGGGUUUUUUUCAGUGGAUGCAGAAUAAGUGCAGAUUCAUCCACUUUGUUAACAUUAACCCUUAAGCUGAAGGGUAUAUAUCUCCGGGGAGUACUAAUAUUUGUUGGUUUAAGCGUAUGUCUAGCAAUUUUCACGUGAUUGAAAGACCAAGAAGCGAAUGGAGCUCGUUUUCUUCAGCAGUUGUAAAACAUUGUUGACUGGUGUAUGUUUUGAGUUAUUUUGUUAUAUUUAGGCAAAACAUGCUUUCAAUUUGUAUCCCUGUUAGUCCAUCCACAGGGAAAUGUUUUCGCUUCUCUCAUUAUUUAUAUAAUGUCACUUAUUUUUGCGUUUUUAUCGCAGUCAAACGUUUUCUUAACUUCAUUUGAGGUAGUAACAACGAAGAUCAUUCAUAUAUUUGGAAGGGGGAGAGGUUUGUAGAUAUUACAUAUACCACCUUGAACUCAAAUCUCCUAUUAUACCGUUUAAAUUCAUCUAUCUGCAAAUCAUUUUUACGUAAAUCAAAAGUGUUAAUAUUCUCAUUUUUACAAUACAAUUCAGGUGUAAUCUUAUUUUAACCUAGUUGAACUAAAACAUCAAAUGAAGGAAAAGACGUCUCAUUACACUUCAUCGUAUAACCAAUUGAAGAAUGUAAAGAAUUAAACAAGUUAACAUAGUUCAAUUUGUUAUUUUCGACACCUGCUGAACUUUUUACAUCCUUCAAUUUGUAAAAGAAGACCUGGUGAACAUUUUCAUAUGCAGACUAAACAAGUUGUAAUAAAGACAAUGAAAAUAAUCACCAGUCGAUAGCGAUGUUAAAUAGAUUUGCCUUGUUGAUUAUUUUUUAGUCUGCAUAUAUAUAUAUAAUUUCCGUUAUUGUCCAGAUAGACUAUUGCUAUUUUUAUCAUUUUUUGUGUAAAAUAAUUAUAACUACCGUGUCAUUACUAAAUAAAUGAUUCUAUGGUUUGAAUA